UUUUUUUUUAAAGUGGGGCGAGUUGGUGAAAAAGUGGGGCGAUUAGGUGUGGGGCGACUUGCCAGUGGGGCGACUUGUCCUGCUUCCGUGCAAGAGAUAUGACUCUCUCUUAACACGGGUCAGCCAAUUUUCGUCCCCUUCCAACGGACUAUCAUCGUUACUUUAGUUUAUUGCUUUUGGUUGGUUUUUUUCUGUCGGGCAAGAAUGUAAAAAAUACAAAAUCAAAUUUACAGAAC
rnacentral:lncRNA from 1 species